CACUCCUGAUACUAUGUACAUGUACAUGUAUGUCUUGUGUCAUGUAUGUCUUGUGUACAUGUAGAACAACGAGCUGAUGUACACUCGAACACUUCAAUGUUGCGCACAAUUCAACCACUACUCUCUAAGGCCUGGCUUACUGAUGAAGUAAUGACCAACUAUGCUAAACUGGUGGCACACACAGCUAAAACAAGUGGAAAGAACGUAGUUGUGCUAAGCUCUCAAUUCUUCUCAAAGCUGACUGUUUCAGGUUACCUAGGAGUAAAAAAUUGGUACCGAAAGGUAAUUUUUAAAGACUCUUAAAGUAUGACAAUAAUAGAAAGUUGCAGGUAAAUUUUCUCCAACAAGACCUAUUUUUGUGUAUUAUAAACAAG